GGUGGGGUAACGGCCUACCAAGCCAACGAUCAGUAGCCGACCUGAGAGGGUGACCGGCCACAUUGGGACUGAGACACGGCCCAAACUCCUACGGGAGGCAGCAGUGGGGAAUAUUGCACAAUGGGGGAAACCCUGAUGCAGCGACGCCGCGUGAGCGGAGAAGUAUUUCGGUAUGUAAAGCUCUAUCAGCAGGGAAGAAAAUGACGGUACCUGACUAAGAAGCACCGGCUAAAUACGUGCCAGCAGCCGCGGUAAUACGUAUGGUGCAAGCGUUAUCCGGAUUUACUGGGUGUAAAGGGAGCGUAGACGGCUGUGUAAGUCUGAAGUGAAAGCCCGGGGCUCAACCCCGGGACUGCUUUGGAAACUAUGCAGCUAGAGUGUCGGAGAGGUAAGUGGAAUUCCCAGUGUAGCGGUGAAAUGCGUAGAUAUUGGGAGGAAC
rnacentral:rRNA from 1 species